CAGUUAACAGUCUGGCCAGCCUGAAAUAAACAAGCAAAGGAGCUUUCAGCAGCAGCUGCAGAUGUUUUGGUACUGCUUCUGUUCUUCUGUCUAUUGAAGUUUGAGAUGUGAUCCCUAAGUGUUUUGAGCUCUGUGGAAUAAAUGCUCAAUUCAGAAAGAGUGGGAGAAAAAAGAACUAAUUUCCUGAAGACUUUUUCCAAUCAAUCUGUGCAAUCGCCAUUCAACUGCGCUCCCAUUCCCAUAGGACAACUUCCCCAGACAGCACAUCUGCAGAGAUAAGGAUUGAGACCUGGCAAAAUAUCAGCUACUGGAAGAGAUAGCAGUGAAGUAUUCCUUCUCAUCUGUAACGGGGGAAAUUCUGGGAUUCUCUCCUUUACCCUCAUGCUGUUUAGCUGAGUAAUUUUCCAGUAAUUCAGGAGCUGGCAGCAGUGAAAGGCUGCAGCAGGAGCAGCAUGAUGCUCUCACAACUGAAUGACUCCAGCAUAGGCAACAGGCCAGUGCAGGACAACUGCACUGCAAAAGUGACCUGAUGAGUGUCCUGAAUGUGAACAGCAGGCUGAUCUUUCCACUGUUGAAAGUGCUCCACGUGCCUUUGCACCCCCUGUUUUUCUUGCAUGCUGCCUUUGAAGCCAUGUACUAUCCACCAUGAAGUCUGUUGUUUGAGACUGUGCUGACUUCCCAUCUAAUUAUUUUACUUUGGUCUAUUUUCAUGACUCUUAGAAGCAGAAUGCUGCAGUUAAAAAAAGAAAACUGAACUGUCCAACCCUUUUUCUGUGCUGUAGCUUUCUUUGGAGAUGAUUGUCACUGAUGGAGCAUGAUGCUAUGGUAUUUGACUGUCUUUUUCAGCAGUUACCCUCUUGUUUUGUUUUGAUUCUGUGUAUGUAUUAGACCUCAACGCUUCUGUGUUCUCUAGUGUUUCUGUCAAGAACUAUUUCUUAGUUCGUAUGCAUGCUUGAGUUGCAAAUCUGUCUUGAUGAGAUUGGCAUGCUAGCAGUAGAUUCUAUGAAUGCACAUGUUUUAAAAGCAAUUUCACCUGAGGAUAACAGCAGGCUGCUGUCUGGUUUUGAGAUGGACAAUCCUUGUACAGCCUAGAGAUUUUCAGUGUAGGAUUAGAACGUUACUCAGGCUGCUCUCUUGGUGCUGUGAUUCCUUGUUGGAGUUGAAACUACCAAACGUAAAAAUCCUGGGCUGGAAGAACUACUUGAUCUAAAGUUUUCAGCUUAGAGAUGGAUAGUUCUACUUCUUGGAUGCUUUUACCAUUAUGAGAAAGGUAGGCCACAGGCUAGAAAGAAAUACUGCGUAACUGAGUGAGAGUGCUCAGGGUAUGAGAAGCAGGUAAAAGCUUUUCUCUUUCUCUGUCAGCACUUAAGGUGUUGUCAACACAGAAACACUUAGCUCAUCUCCCUACAAACAUCAGGUGCAAAUGUUACCUGAAAUGGCAACUGCAACUGGGAAGUCCUGCUGGUUUCAGUUAGCAACUACAUCUGAAAUGUAGCAAGGGAAGCCUGUUUAUUCUAUUGUCUGGGUAUGUGGAUUCCACUAGAGGUGGUAAUACAGGCUGUUUUAAGAAGACUAACCUUUAUAAUUGUCUUAAAAACAAAAACAAACUUACAAAAAAAACCCACAACUGCAUAGCUGCUUUUAUGGUACCCUUCCAAUUGGCCAGCACUGCAUCAUAACAUACAGGUCUGUCUCUGCUC